GAUGAACGCUGGCGGCGUGCCUAAUACAUGCAAGUCGAACGCUCAGCGAAAGGUGCUUGUACCUUUCAAGCGAGUGGCGAACGGGUGAGUAACACGUGGAUAACCUGCCUCAAGGCUGGGGAUAACAUUUGGAAACAGAUGCUAAUACCGAAUAAAACUUAGUAUCGCAUGAUACAAAGUUGAAGGGCGCUACGGCGUCACCUAGAGAUGGGUCCGCGGUGCAUUAGUUAGUUGGUGGGGUAAAGGCCUACCAAGACAAUGAUGCAUAGCCGAGGUGGGAGACUGAUCGGCCACAUUGGGACUGAGACACGGCCCAAACUCCUACGGGAGGCUGCAGUAGGGAAUCUUCCACAAUGGGCGAAAGCCUGAUGGAGCAACGCCGCGUGUGUGAUGAAGGCUUUAGGGUCGUAAAGCACUGUUGUAUGGGAAGAAAUGCUAGAAUAGGGAAUGAUUCUAGUUCGACGGUACCAUACCAGAAAGGGACGGCUAAAUACGUGCCAGCAGCCGCAGUAA
rnacentral:rRNA from 1 species